UACGGAGGGUGCAAGCGUUGUUCGGAAUCAUUGGGCGUAAAGCGCGUGUAGGCGGCUUGGCAAGUCGGUCGUGAAAGCCCGGGGCCCAACCCCGGAAUUGCAUCUGAAACUGCCUCGCUAGAGUCCCGGAGAGGAAGGCAGAAUUCCCGGUGUAGGGGUGAAAUCCGUAGAUAUCGGGAGGAAUACCAGCGGCGAAGGCGGCCUUCUGGACGGUGACUGACGCUGAGACGCGAAAGCGUGGGGAGCAAACAGG
rnacentral:rRNA from 1 species